CCUACGGGUGGCAGCAGUCGAGAAUCAUUCACAAUGGGGGAAACCCUGAUGGUGCGACGCCGCGUGGGGGAAUGAAGGUCUUCGGAUUGUAAACCCCUGUCAUGUGGGAGCAAAUUAAAAAGAUAGUACCACAAGAGGAAGAGACGGCUAACUCUGUGCCAGCAGCCGCGGUAAUACAGAGGUCUCAAGAGGUGUUCGGAAUCACUGGGCGUAAAGCGUGCGUAGGCUGUUUCGUAAGUCGUGUGUGAAAGGCGCGGGCUCAACCCGCGGACGGCACAUGAUACUGCGAGACUAGAGUAGUGGAGAGGGAACCGGAAUUCUCGGUGUAGCAGUGAAAUGCGUAGAUAUCGAGAGGAACACUCGUGGCGAAGGCGGGUUCCUGGACAUUAACUGACGCUGAGGCACGAAGGCCAGGGGAGCGAAAGGGAUUAGAUACCCCAGUAGUC
rnacentral:rRNA from 1 species